rnacentral:rRNA from 1 species
UACGGAGGAUGCGAGCGUUAUCCGGAUUUAUUGGGUUUAAAGGGUGCGUAGGCGGAUUUUUAAGUCAGCGGUCAAAGCCCGGGGCUCAACCCCGGCCCGCCGUUGAAACUGGCAGUCUCGAGUUGGAGAGAAGUAUGCGGAAUGCGCGGUGUAGCGGUGAAAUGCAUAGAUAUCGCGCAGAACUCCGAUUGCGAAGGCAGCAUGUCGGCUCCACACUGACGCUGAGGCACGAAAGCGUGGGGAGCAAACAGG